rnacentral:rRNA from 1 species
CCUACGGGAGGCAGCAGUGGGGAAUAUUGCACAAUGGGGGAAACCCUGAUGCAGCGACGCCGCGUGAGUGAAGAAGUAAUUCGUUAUGUAAAGCUCUAUCAGCAGGGAAGAAAAUGACGGUACCUGAGUAAGAAGCCCCGGCUAACUACGUGCCACCAGCCGCGGGAAUACGUAGGGGGCAAGCGUUAUCCGGAUUUACUGGGUGUAAAGGGAGCGUAGGCGGGAGUGCAAGUCUGGAGUGAAAGGCGGGGGGUCAACCCCCGGACUGCUGUGGAAACUGUACGGCUGGAGUGCAGGAGAGGUAAGUGGAAUGCGUGGUGUAGCGGUGAAAUGCGUAGAUAUUAGGAAGAACACCAGUGGCGAAGGCAGCUUACUGGACUGUAACUGACGUUGAGGCACGAAAGCGUGGGGAGCAAACAGGAUUAGAUACCCCAGUAGUC